GACGAACGCUGGCGGCGUGCUUAACACAUGCAAGUCGAACGGAAAGGCCCUGCUUGCAGGGUACUCGAGUGGCGAACGGGUGAGUAACACGUGGGUGAUCUGCCCUGCACUUCGGGAUAAGCCUGGGAAACUGGGUCUAAUACCGGAUAGGAGCCAUUUUUAGUGUGAUGGUUGGAAAGUUUUUUCGGUGUAGGAUGAGCUCGCGGCCUAUCAGCUUGUUGGUGGGGUAAUGGCCUACCAAGGCGGCGACGGGUAGCCGGCCUGAGAGGGUGGACGGCCACAUUGGGACUGAGAUACGGCCCAGACUCCUACGGGAGGCAGCAGUGGGGAAUAUUGCACAAUGGGCGCAAGCCUGAUGCAGCGACGCCGCGUGGGGGAUGACGGCCUUCGGGUUGUAAACUCCUUUCGCUAGGACGAAGCUUUUUGUGACGGUACCUAGAGAAGAAGCACCGGCUAACUACGUG
rnacentral:rRNA from 1 species